UUAGAGUUUGAUCCUGGCUCAGGACGAACGCUGGCGGCGUGCCUAAUACAUGCAAGUCGAGCGAGCUUGCCUAGAUGAUUUUAGUGCUUGCACUAAAUGAAACUAGAUACAAGCGAGCGGCGGACGGGUGAGUAACACGUGGGUAACCUGCCCAAGAGACUGGGAUAACACCUGGAAACAGAUGCUAAUACCGGAUAACAACACUAGACGCAUGUCUAGAGUUUGAAAGAUGGUUCUGCUAUCACUCUUGGAUGGACCUGCGGUGCAUUAGCUAGUUGGUAAGGUAACGGCUUACCAAGGCAAUGAUGCAUAGCCGAGUUGAGAGACUGAUCGGCCACAUUGGGACUGAGACACGGCCCAAACUCCUACGGGAGGCAGCAGUAGGGAAUCUUCCACAAUGGACGAAAGUCUGAUGGAGCAACGCCGCGUGAGUGAAGAAGGGUUUCGGCUCGUAAAGCUCUGUUGGUAGUGAAGAAAGAUAGAGGUAGUAACUGGCCUUUAUUUGACGGUAAUUACUUAGAAAGUCACGGCUAACUACGUGCCAGCAGCCGCGGUAAUACGUAGGUGGCAAGCGUUGUCCGGAUUUAUUGGGCGUAAAGCGAGUGCAGGCGGUUCAAUAAGUCUGAUGUGAAAGCCUUCGGCUCAACCGGAGAAUUGCAUCAGAAACUGUUGAACUUGAGUGCAGAAGAGGAGAGUGGAACUCCAUGUGUAGCGGUGGAAUGCGUAGAUAUAUGGAAGAACACCAGUGGCGAAGGCGGCUCUCUGGUCUGCAACUGACGCUGAGGCUCGAAAGCAUGGGUAGCGAACAGGAUUAGAUACCCUGGUAGUCCACACAGUAAACGAUGAAUACUCGCUGUUUGCGAUAUACGGCAAGCGGCCAAGCGAAAGCAUUAAGUAUUCCACCUGGGGAGUACGCCGGCAACGGUGAAACUCAAAGGAAUUGACGGGGGCCCGCACAAGCGGAGGAACAUGUGGUUUAAUUCGAUGAUACGCGAGGAACCUUACCCGGGCUCAAACGCGGCGUGAAUACUUUUGAAAGGAGGUAGUCAGCAAUGACACGCCGCGAGGUGCUGCAUGGUUGUCGUCAGCUCGUGCCGUGAGGUGUCGGCUUAAGUGCCAUAACGAGCGCAACCCCUACCGUCAGUUGCCAACAGGUAAAGCUGGGGACUCUGACGGGACUGCCGGCGCAAGCUGUGAGGAAGGCGGGGAUGACGUCAAAUCAGCACGGCCCUUACGUCCGGGGCGACACACGUGUUACAAUGGCAGGUACAGCGGGAAGCCACCUGGCGACAGGGCGCGGAACCCGAAAACCUGUCUCAGUUCGGAUUGGAGUCUGCAACCCGACUCCAUGAAGCUGGAUUCGCUAGUAAUCGCGCAUCAGCCACGGCGCGGUGAAUACGUUCCCGGGCCUUGCACACACCGCCCGUCA
rnacentral:rRNA from 1 species